rnacentral:tRNA from 2 species
GCACUCGUCGUUCAACGGAUAGGACGCAAGCUUGCGGAGCUUGUAAUACAGGUUCGAUUCCUGUCGAGUGCACCA